GACGAACGCUGGCGGCGUGCUUAACACAUGCAAGUCGAACGGAAAGGCCCUGCUUUUUUGGGGUUCUCGAGUGGCGAACGGGUGAGUAACACGUGAGUAACCUGCCCUUGACUUUGGGAUAACUUCAGGAAACUGGGGCUACUACCGUAUAGGAGCUCCUGUUGCAUGGUGGGCGUUGGAACGUUUCGGCUGUUGGGGAUGGACUCGCGGCUUAUCAGCUUGUUGGUUGGGUAGUGGCUUACCAAGGCUUUGACGGGUAGCCGGCAUGAGAGGGUGAACGGCCACAAUGGGACUGAGAUACGGACCAGACGCGUACGGGAGGCAGCAGGGGGGAAUAUUGCACAGUGGGCGGAAGCCUGAGGCAGAAACGCCGCGUGCGGGAUGACGGCCUUCGGGGUGUAAAACGCUUUCGCCUGAGACGAAGCGUGAGUGACGGUAAUGAGUAAAGAAGCACCGGCUAACUACGUG
rnacentral:rRNA from 1 species